AAAGAAAGUAAGCAAGGGCGCAUGGCGGAUGCCUUGGCUCUCGGAGGCGAUGAAGGACGUGAUAAGCUGCGAUAAGCUUCGGGCAGGUGCAAAUAACCUUUGAUCCGAAGAUUUCCGAAUGGGACAACCCGUCAUUCUGAAGGAAUGACAUCUUGCAUAGCAAGAGGCUAACGCAGGGAACUGAAACAUCUUAGUACCUG
rnacentral:rRNA from 1 species